rnacentral:lncRNA from 1 species
GCUUAGUAUUCAUUUGAAAUAAAUCAAAACCAUAUAGAAAAUUAAUGUGAAUGCUUCUUGUUACUAACCAAGCAUUAGGCAAAAUACAAAUCCAGAAAAGAGAAGAGUCUUGAUUCAAAAACUAAAAUCUCCAAAUAAAAAAGGUAUCUUAAAACUUCAACAUAGGUCGGUCGUACUGACAUAUGUCCCGUCCCAGAUGUUCAAAGGUCUUGAACACUCAAACCUGAAACGAAGAAACCUCGAUAAAUAAAUAAAAGCCCAACAACUUACAAAAAUGGAGACUAUACUAGUGAAGUUCGCUCCUGCUGUGGCUGCUGUUGUGUUGGUGGUGGCAUCGCAAUUUGAGAAUGGGAAGGAUUUUCGUUAUAAGCUUGAUUAUUUGUCAGACCGUGAUAGUUACCUUGCUGAUAACCCUGAUAACCAAGCAAACCAGGGUUCGUAGCUCCAGGGACCGAUACGUAGUUUUGGUUAAGCAUGGGAGUUUCAUGCUGAUACUGAGCUUGAUGUGAACCUUGAGAGUACAUGGAGUAAUUAUCCGAUGGUGGUGGAGGUAACGCCGCCUGGUAUUGCAUACCACCUUGUACCAUUCCACCGGAGUAGCUCGGUGUGCUUGACACUGGAGGAUAGUGCACCGGAGGAGGAGGCAGUUGCCCCACCGGAUUGUACUGAUUGCCUAAUUGUUGAAACGAUAGAUUUGAUGGGUCAGAAACCGUUGAUUGAUCUCUAUUCCAGGCUUGUGAUGGAGCUUCUCCAUUGGAUAAUCCAACGGCUUGGUGACUUUCUGCUUGAGAAUUUGUUGGGAGCAAGGAGGCAAGAGUGGCUAUUAGCUCAGGCGUUAGACUAACCCCGGCUUGAGGCGUUGCAGUGUUAUGUACAGCAACAGGCUUCAUUGGUUCCUGUAUACCCCAGGCUUGAUCUUCCCUAGCAGCGUACAAACCGUGAUUGGCACUGGCAGGCGAAUCUCGAGACUGAUCCAUAUAGUGUGGAGGAACGGUAUGAGAUUCUUGUCUAUACGAUAAAGCUGCAGGAACCGGUGGUGGUGGCAAUUUGAGAACAACACCGUAUAGCCUCUCUCGACCGGAUACUUUGAGCACAUCAGUUAAGAAAUCUGAUGGUGGAACCAAGAAUAAAGUGGUUCCAUCAUCUAAUUUGGCAACACCUGCUCUAUUCUUUGAACCAAGAUAUUGGAGAAAUUCAGUAUAAGACGCGAAGUCGUCUUCGCUGUCUGGUAAGAAGAAAACGAUUUCAAAUCCAAUUGCUUCCGUAUAGUGUUUGGCAAGCAUAUCCAAACCCGUUCGUGCUGAACAAUUGACCAUCUCAGGGCUAUUAACCAAUUCCAAAAACCGAUAAUCAGUAAUCCAUUCGGUACUUGUUAUCAAUGAAUCGAAUCAAACACUAUGCAAAAUCCAUUUUCAGAUCACAACAUCUAAAAGAAUCAACAGAUAAGAUAACUUCUAAUCUAUGAACUAAAACUUAUCCUACAUAAGUGAAGGCAAAAAAAAAGGCUAAAGUGCAUGAAAAUGUUACUCACAGUUCAGAUUCAAUCCCCUUUCCAAUAGGUACACAACGAGCAUGACAAACAGGAGUUCCACCUUUGGCUAUGACUCCUCUCCAAAUGAAAUCAGUAUCAGGGAAACCACGGCCUGGUCUACGUCGAUAUGUCCUAUCCAACCCAGUGAUACGAUCAUCUACACCCAUCGGAGGAAAAGCAUCUACAGAUCCAUCUCUACGAGUUCUUUUAGGUUCUCUAUCCAACUGAGCAGGAUCAUAUCCUUCCCAAGAACCACGGUUUGACCGAAUGGGUAACCUUCUACUUGGUGCGGGAGACGGGAGUAUUCCAGCUCCACUAGGAGAUGACCUUCUCCAGCUUCCUUCGUUGCCAACCACAUCGCCAUAUUCUGGACCAAAACGUUCCAUGCUACCUCGGAAGGGCCUCACAGGGUCAAGAACCACACUGGAAUGUGGUGACGAUAUGUACGGAGGAUCACUGAUGAACAUCUCAGGCCUUGACCGUUUAACACCAGAAUAAAAACCGGUAUCAUCUCCCCGUCCAGGGGGAAUGUUAUCGUUUUGGUACAUGAUUGUGAUUCUUGGAUCGUUGAAUAACCUUCCCUGUAGUCCUUCCUUAGCACAGCGAGCUUCCUCAAUGCUUCUAAAUUCCACAAGUGAGAAAUGCCUUGAUGGAUAGCUAACACAUCUCUCAAUCUCACCAAAAAGAAUCAUGGAAUUGUGCAGCAGUCGUUCGUCUAUCUGAACAGAAGGAGGGUACCCAAUCCACAGAACGUUACUUGCUUGGCCAUCUCCAGAUGAGUGAGUAUACUGUUGUUAAGCAUAUAAAAAUUUGAACUCAGGAACCUGGCAAGCCGAAAGCUUUCUAAACUAUAAACAUGAAAGCCGAUAAAGGCUAACCUGGUGCUUAGCACUCAAACUGCCAUCCCUGCCAUCUUCGGAUCCAAGCCGUGGUUCCUACAGAGAUAAGAAUGUCAUGUAAUUUCGGAGUCAUUUAGCAGAUUCUACAACAUAGAUAUGAAAAAGUAAACGCAGAAGAAAUAAAAAUGGAAACACGUGACACAAGUAGAUAUAGAAAGAUUUUAGCCAUGGCAGUCUUAUACAUAUCAUGAAACCUAACGCACUCAGUAGUUCUAACAAAAUGAUUACUGAAACUUAUUCUAAUGCGAAAAAAAAAGAACGACGAGAGGAUGCUUACUUUUCUUGGCCCUUGUGACCGAAGAAAAUCAACUCGCAAAAAGCUACCACCUAGUCGCUUCCCGUUCAUGGUCUUUGCCUGUACAGCAUCGUCCACGUCAAAAUAGUCAAUAAAAGCCGUCUUGCGAUCCUUAAGAAACCUGAAACUUUCGAUUUCCCCAAACUUCCUGAACUCUGCCUCGAGUACAUCCUUCGGGACACUCGAGCUGAUUCCACCAACCCAAAGACUCUUACAAGGUUUUGCCUGCACACAAAUAAUUUCCAUAAGAAGCCAAUAAAAUACAUCUUUAACAACAUCCAGAAUUGGCUUUCCUGGCUGUCAUGAAGAGAACCUUUUUAAACACAUAAACCACAACAAAACAAAAUCAGUUACUAAUUCAAAGAUUGUAAUAAAAAAAAUCACAUUUAAUGGCUACCAUAAACACACAACAUGACUUGAGGAGAAUCAUUUCCAUAAAUAGAAGAGAACUAUGUCCUCUGUGUUGAUCAUAUUUCAAAUUUGGCACAUUACUAAAUAAACCAACCCUUGGACGAACCACUAAGAUGAGCAGAAAGCAAAAGAUGCUGGCAAGUCUUUCAUGUUCUAGGAUAAGUUGCUAGCGUUACUGUUACAUCUCUGAUGACUAGAGGAACUUACAAAUAUUGAAUUACUGCAUUUCGAAAUUUACAUCUCAAACUCGAGAAACAUUCUGCACAAUCUGAAAACUCUGGCAUUCAUUCACCAAGUCUAAUCCGAAGGAUUAAGAUGCUAAUUACGUUUCAGAUACUUGAACGCAUUUAAAGUUCAUAAUCAAUCUUAUGAGAUUAAGCAUAUAGCACAAACUGUUAUCCAUAAGAAGAAGCAAUCAUUUGUGGAACAAAUCAAGCAUACGUGGCACUCAUGAUCUGUGAAAUUCCCGAUCUAACCAUUAACAAGAGACUAUCAGAGUUAAAGGAAGAAACGCGAUGAUCAGAACGAACCGCUCGUGCGAAUUCGAUUUUAAUGUGACUCCCGUUUAGAUUGGCGCCUUGAAGAGCCCUUGUUACUAACCAAGCAUUAGGCAAAAUACAAAUCCAGAAAAGAGAAGAGUCUUGAUUCAAAAACUAAAAUCUCCAAAUAAAAAAGGUAUCUUAAAACUUCAACAUAGGUCGGUCGUACUGACAUAUGUCCCGUCCCAGAUGUUCAAAGGUCUUGAACACUCAAACCUGAAACGAAGAAACCUCGAUAAAUAAAUAAAAGCCCAACAACUUACAAAAAUGGAGACUAUACUAGUGCCCCUAUAUAUAAGGUUAAGAUAUCAAAGUCUAGUACAGUUAUCAUUUCAAGAGAUUAACUUAGCAAAAUCUAACAACCUGUAUAUGGAUCAAGAUAUCAAAAUCAAACACAGUUAAAUGAUGAAAUUACUUAGUAAGACGCAUAUGCCAAUUCUACCAAUGUUGAGGGGGAGGUUGAUAGCAGAAGUAAAAAAAAAAGGGAAGAGAUUAAUUAUGAACCUG